rnacentral:rRNA from 1 species
CUCAGUAACACGCGGAUAAUCCACCCUUAGGUGGGGUAUAGCCUUGGGAAACUGAGAUUAAUCCCCCAUAGAUCCCGGAAACUGGAAUGUUACGGGUUUGAAAGUUACGACGCCUAAGGACGAGUCUGCGGCCUAUCAGGUAGUAGGUGGGGUAAAGGCCCACAUAGCCUAUGACGGGUACGGGCACUGAGAGGUGUAGCCCGGAGAUGGGUUCUGAGACACGAACCCAGGCCCUACGGGGCGCAGCAGGCGCGAAACCUUCGCAAUGCGCGCAAGCGCGACGAGGGGAACUCGAGUGCCAUUGCCAUUUUUGGUGAUGGCUUUUCUUGACCCUAAAAAGAUCAGGGAAUAAAAGCUGGGUAAGACGGGUGCCAGCCGCCGCGGUAAUACCCGCAGCUCGAGUGGUGGCCACUAUUAUUGAGCCUAAAGCGUCCGUAGCCGGUCUUGUAAAUCUCUGGGUAAAUCCUGCCGCU